GUCUUUUUGACGGAAUUGGUAGACGUGAUAGAUUUAGGAUCUAUUUCUUUAUAGAGUGUGGGUUCAAAUCCCACAAAAGAUA
rnacentral:tRNA from 1 species